rnacentral:lncRNA from 10 species
CAGCCACAAAGGGCCAGACAUGUAAGCUGAGGCUGUUGGUAGAGCUCAGGGAAGAGCAACCCAAGGUGAAGACACAAGGUGUGUACAAUUCUGGGCAUACCUCAACAACGGAAAGACUAGUGAAGCUGGCCCAGGAAUGGGGAACCGAACUGGCAGAUACAAGAUCAGUGAUGUCUUCUGGCUUUCAAGUUUUAAAACCUGUAUGCCCUUGAUCCUACUCCUUCCUCCACUAUUCACCUCCUUGGAAAUCUGAGAGACAUUCAUGUCCCAGGAGUGACCAGCUUGAAGAGAGCUGAAACCCAGCCCCAUUGCACAGCUGGCUCCCAAGGAUCUAUCUUGGCACCCAGCUAACUUCUCUACCCUGGAGGAUCAGGUGAAAGAAAAACACCAGAUGGGAAGAAAAGUGGAGAGAAUGAUUGAGCCUGGAACCUCAGCAUGGCAUUAUCCACAUGGGCUGUUUUAUCAGUAUGCCUUUUUGUAACCCCAGAUAAGGGAAAACUGUAGCCAGAAAAAGAUGAAAACAGGGAAAUUCAACCAUUGCAGGCAUUUAUUCUUAUCUUUUGUUUUUAUAAAGAAUGACAAAUAAUCUGAGGGUAUAAAAAUCAUUGCUUU